UUCUCUUUGAAGAUGGCGAUGAGCGUCCGUCGCUGCAGGUCCGUGAAGACCAGACGCUGUUUCUUGGGCACCAUGUUUCUGUCUUUGUGCUGCUCUUGUUCCUUUCUCUUGCAGGCUGUCACGAGAGACACGGAAAGACAGAACAGAAGGAGAGUGUAAAGAAAGCUGAACUGUGUGGAUUUAUAAACAUGCAGUUUGACAGAAUCAUGGUGAGGGGGGCCGCACAGGUCAGAAAGUUUUGGUGCAGAGAAAGAGAAGGAACGCGAAACCAGAAGCACCUGCAGCUUCGGCGAGACGCAGUCGCGAGAUGCACAACCGGGGUAAAAAACAGGAAAGUGUGUUGCAGGCACGGGGACACUAUGAUGUUGAGGCCUAAAGAAGAUACACAAAUAACUCAAACACGACUGUGACAGUGAUCAAUGAGACUAAUGCAUUUAACAAUAACAGACUCGUAUGCAUCAAAAUACUGACUUUAAUUAAUGAAUUCGCUUUCUUUUACCUCAAAGCUGUUACUGGACCAAAUCUGAACUAAUUUUGGAAUGACAAAACGAUGCAUAGACAUUUUAUCUGUUACCAAAGUAAAGAGAUCCAAACUGAUCCAACCGAGAUCGUGUUUUACUGCUCAACAUUACAGAAAGUCACGCAGGAAUGAAUGUGUGCUGGUGUGUUUUUCUUUUGGUCAAAUGUUAAGGCUGCAAUGAGAAGUCUGAAUGAUGUUCAAUAGUGUGACAUUUGACAAAUUAAGAUUGAUUUAUCAGAGAGAUCAUAAAUCCCUCCCAUGCAGAUGAGGAAAUGUGUAGAGUGAAAUUCGAGGCAGUUUUAUCAUGUACAGCAUGAAGCUGCUUAUAAAAGUCCAAACAUGAUUCUCUUAUAAUUAAUACAUCAAUUCAAACACUUAAGACACAAACAGCCAGCAGCAU